UGUAGAAAAAGGAAAUAUGGCGGCGUUAGACAUGUGAUGGAGUUAUUUUUCGCUAUAUCGACCACUGAGGUCAUAAUCAAUGAAGAACAUUCAUCAAGGAAUGAAGAGUAAAAAUUUCAUACUACCAUACUUGAAGUCUGUCGUUAUAAAUCCUUGGUUAAAUAACUAGAGGCAGAUAAAAUGGGCUCCAAAGUCAAGGUGGCUGUGAGAGUUCGGCCAUUAAACCGGCGAGAGAUUGACCUUGGAGAUAAAGUCGUGGUUGAUAUGGUGGAUGGAAAUCAAACUGUACUUCAUUCUCCAGACAAGAAGCAAUCUAAGAACUUUGCCUUUGAUCACUGCUUCUGGUCUAUUGAUUCUGCCAAUGAGGAAAAGUAUGCAGCUCAAGAUAAGGUCUUUGAUUGCCUUGGCAAGGAUGUAUUGGUUAAUGCAUUUGAAGGCUACAAUGCUUGUAUAUUUGCCUAUGGACAGACAGGGUCUGGUAAAACAUAUACCAUGAUGGGAGUACAGAAUGAUAAAGGAAUCAUACCAAGACUAUGCGACAAUCUGUUUACUGGAAUAUCAGAGAACACAACGCAAGACAUCACUUACAAAGUAGAAGUAUCUUACAUUGAAAUCUACAAUGAAAGAGUUCGGGAUUUGCUUUGUCCCAGAGGAGGUAACACAGCUCUGAGGGUAAGGGAACAUAAAGUACUUGGACCAUACGUGGAGGGCUUAACCAAACUUGUUGUCUCGUCCUAUGAGGAUAUCGAAGCCAUCAUGGUAGAAGGGAACAAGUCACGUACAGUAGCAGCUACGCGCAUGAACACUGAAAGUAGUAGAUCACAUGCUGUCUUUAAUAUCGUACUGGCACGAACAGAAUAUGACCACGAUACAGAGUGUGUUGGCGAGAAAGUUAGUAAGCUGAGUCUUGUAGACUUGGCUGGCAGCGAAAGAGCCAGUAAAACAGGUGCUGAAGGAGAAAGACUGAAAGAAGGAAGCAAUAUUAAUAAAUCACUAACUACACUAGGACAAGUAAUAUCAAGCCUAGCUGAUCAGUCUUCAGUCAAACACCAUAAAAAAGGAGUGCAUUUUGUCCCUUAUCGAGACUCCGUUCUUACGUGGUUACUCAAGGAUAAUCUUGGUGGUAAUAGCAAGACUGUGAUGAUAGCUACCGUUAGUCCUUCAUCUGAUAACUAUGAAGAGACACUAUCCACGUUAAGAUACGCAGACCGCGCCAAGAGAAUCGUCAAUCAUGCUGUCGUCAAUGAAGAUCCUAAUGCUAGGAUCAUCCGCGAGCUUCGCGAAGAAGUCGAGCGGCUAAAACAGUUACUACAGUUGAAGAUUGCUGGCAAGUUAUCACCUGAAGAUGCUGGGGAGUUUGAGAUCCAGGAACAGUUAUCAGAGAGUGAGAAACUGAUGAAAGAGGCGACGAUGUCUUGGGAACAGAAAGAGAAACAAACAGAACAAAUUAUGCAGGAACGACAUAAAGCCUUGGAGGAAAUGGGUAUCUCAGUCCAGUCUUCAGGAAUAGCAGUCGAGAAAAACAAAUUUUAUCUAGUGAACCUGAACGCAGAUCCAUCCAUGAAUGAGCUGCUUGUCUAUUACUUAAAGGACCAUACUAAAAUUGGACGUCUGAACCCUAACCUACCUCCCCCUGAUAUCCAGUUAGGAGGUCUUGGUAUUCUACCUGAACACAGUACUAUGGAUAUUGAAGGCAAUGAGGUUUACCUAACUCCUAUGCCCAAUGCCAGGACAUUCGUUAACGGCAAAGAACUGAAAGAUCGAACGUUAUUAAAACACGGUGACAGAAUCCUCUGGGGGAAUAAUCACUUCUUUAGAAUUAACUGUCCACGGCUACCAGGCAGUGAGGUCCAGCCUGAACAACCAGUAGACUUUUUGUCUGCACAGCAUGAGUUGAUGAUGAACCAAAUCCAUCAAGGUCCAUUACAUGAAUCGAUAAAAGCGUUAGAGGAGCAGUACCAGGCUGAUAAACAAGGUGCAUUGGAAAAACAAAGACUGAUGUACGAAGAAAAAAUCGAAGAGCUUCGAAGUCAAGUCCAAACCAACCCACUUGGUAACAAAUUCACUGACAGAACAUGGAGUGUGGGGUCAUUCAGCUCUGGGUACGGGUCACGUAUGUCAUGGUACGAGGAUAGAGACACGCCAAUGAAUUACAUCGACAAACCAGAACAGCGUCCUCUUGUUUUAAAAGAAGAGGUAUUGAAGGCGAAUACUCUUGUCAGGGAAGCUAAUCAACUGAGCGAAGAAAUGAACAAGGACACGGAGUUCGCAGUCACUUUGCAGAUCCCGACAUCGAGUCUAAGUUUUGGUCGCAGUCGUUCAGGAUUCAGUAGUGAAGUUGCUAUUGUUGUGAAACACAAAUCUAGAGGAACACAAAUUUGGUCUCUGGACAAACUAGAGAACAAGAUAUUCGACAUGAGAGAACUAUACAACCAGUGCGUUGAUGAGGGGAUUGCGUUUAAUAGCAAGGAGGAUAACACGGAUCUUUUCUUUGAGGUGGAAUGUCACACUCUUAUUGGUGUGUGUAACGUGUUCUUAGAAUGUUUAUUACAUGAUGUUAGUCACGAGUAUGCUGCACCUAUCAUCAGCCAGCAGGGAGAGGUUUGUGGUCGACUUAAAGUUGAAGUUACUCGUGUUACUGAUAAGGGCUCCGAUAGCGAAUCGAUUGAAUCCGAGGACGGACGAGAAAGCCCCGAAGAUGAACCGGAGAUCGACGAUGACGAUGAAAUAGAAGAGUUUCAGCUUGGUAAUCGCAUGGAAGUGUGUGUACGCGUGAUUGAGGCGUUUGACCUUCCUCCUGCCUUGUGUAACUACGUGUUCUGUCAGUACCAGUUAUGGAAAGAUAAGGAUACCGUCGUGGUCCCGCCUAUUAAUGCCAGUAUUUCACAUCCAGGACCAAAAACUAACACUAUGAUCUUUGAAAACAAACAAUCUUUUGACAUCGAGAUCACUGAAGAUUUCCUGGAAUACGCAUCAGAAGGCUCACUUGCUAUUGAGGUGUGGGGGAACAGAAGUCAAGGCUUUGAUAGCACUCACAAGAUGAACUGGAAUUAUAAUGUGGAAGCUCCUCAGAAAGGACUUCAUGACAGGUGGCACGAACUUGUUCGUAAAUUGGAACUGUGGUUUGAAGUACACGAGAUCAACGACCAAGGAAUCUACGCCCCUGUUGAACUAAACAUACGCGAGGGUAGAGAAACUGGAGGAGUAUUCCAGCUACGACAAGGUCACUCGCGUCGUCUAGUAGUCAAGGUCAACCCUGUACCGAAGUCUGGGGCACUUCCUGUAGUAUGCAACACUAUAUCUAGUGUGUCUAUUGGAAGCAUAUGUGUCAGGAAAAAACAUUUGUUGGGACUUGACAGCUACCAAGAAAAGGAUUUGUCACUGCUACGUGAGAAGUGGUCAAACUCGUUGAUGAAGAGACGUGAAUAUCUUGAUCAACAAAUUCACUCUUCAAUGGGAAACCAAGAUAAGUCAGUAGUGGAUAAAGAACGCGAGAGCUGGUUAAUAGACCAGUGGGUUUGUCUUACUGAAGAACGUAAUGCUGUUCUCUGUCCUCUUCCUGGGAGUGGAAUACCAGGAUCACCGCAACCUGAUGAAGAUUUGAUUCGCCAAGGUCUGGAAGCACAUAUCCCUGUUAUUUUCCUCGAUUUGAAUGAUGAAUUUAGAAACGGGGCCGCAGACGACGCUUCUCCAGCUGGUGUAGAUACGACUCUAUCAUUUGAAAACCCUGAUAAUAUGAUAGAGUUGCCUAUAAUUAAAUACGACCAGAAACAGGUAUCUGCUACCGCGUCAUGGGACUCGUCUAUCCAUGAUGCCAUCGAACUGACGAGAGUAACUGGAUCGAACGAAAUGGUUUAUCUUAUAGUAAAGGUCGUAGUUGGACUGUCUAGCCCUGUAACGAUGGAGUUGGUUCUUCGGAAGAGAAUUUGCAUUAGAAUAUACAAGAAACAGAGUUGGAAGGACAGCCUCUUAAGAAGGCUAACAAAGGAAUAUCGACAUACCUGUGGUGUGGUUUACGAGCUCGUUUCGCACAUACCUCGGCAACCAGGAGAGGAGACAGAAGAGCGAGCGAGUCUAGCGCAAAUGGCCGCUCAAGCUGUUGGCGAAGAAGAAGAAGACGAAACGGUUCUACGGCGAUACAGUAAAGGGAUAUCAAACGUCGAAAGCUUGUUGGCACUUGACAAACUGAGACAGGAAGUUGUUGUGAAAGAAAAGUUAGCUGCCAUUGGUAAACCUCUAAGGAAGUUUGCUAGUACGCCCAACUUAGCGGCAGCGUCUGACUUCUCUUUUGGAACCAGUCCUGGUCGCUUUGAUUCCCCAGACACCAAUCGGCUAUUCGAUUUUAGGGGCAAUGUAUCCAGAGGACGCGAGGAUUUAUUGAUUGAUUUAUCGUCAUCCUACUCCUCCCCUUUGAGUAGUGGAGCAGGGGGAGUCGUCUUACGUGAACGAACCGCAAGAACUCCUAAUUCACGGCCAAGCUCUCUUCUCCUCGAGUUAGAAACUUUAAAAGAAGAUUCCAAGGAAGAUAAAAGCUCAGCCUCGCCAAGUCCUCGUGUUCCCCUUGUGCUUUUCGAUUUCAAUGGCUCUAAAUCAGUAGCUUCCGACGGCACUAUCAGUCCGACGGACAACCUCCGACAGAGAACAGCGAGUUCCGAUACGAUCACUUACGACGAUAAUGGACCGACGGUAUACGACGAUUUGCCGACGCCGACUCCAUUUACAUUACCGAAAAAGUUGAGCCUUCCUGCAAAGGCAGAAAACAUGAGUGCUGAUUUUCUCUCAACAAAAACUGAUGAUGUAUUAGAUUUAAGUUCGACGAAAAACGAGGAGUUUAAACCGGAUUCUACAUCUCAAAAAGGUGAUAAUUUGAUUUUAGAUUUAUUGAACAAUGAUAAAGGCGAGCUGUCGCUUGUCGAUCUUGAAAAUGUCAGUGUUACGAAUGACCAGGAAGCGAGUCUUCUCGAAGCAACGGCCAUUCCACCAAACCAGGUUAGUGCGGAAGGAGCUCGCAAUCUAUCUCCGUAUCUAAACUCAAGUGAAUUACAGCCCAUGGGCAAGAAAAACGAUUCGGAUGAAAAUUUCAUGGAUGAUGGCAGGGACGAGUUGUCUACCUCAAGGGAUGACUUAUCGUCUUUAGGAAGUCGCGAAGACUUGACCUCAUCCUUUGAUAGCAUGAACGAGGAAUGGGAUGAUGAAAGUGUCAGUCACUUACGGUCUGGUAUGGCUGUAAGACUUGCUGAAGGUAAAACUGGCGUCAUCAGGUUUAUUGGUCAGACUAGAUUUUCUCCUGGUGCGUGGAUCGGAGUGGAGCUCGAUAAGCCUGGAGGAAAAAAUGAUGGCUCCGUUAAAGGUAUUCGAUACUUUGCCUGUAAACCAAGAUUCGGUUCAUUUGUCCGCCCCGACAAGGUUACUCCAAUUGAGCACAGUGCUCGAGAACGAACCACGUCCCGCAAGUUUACGGGAUCCCGGGAUAACACCUCGAGAACCGCGUCUAACAGAGGCCUAGACAAAACCGAAAGCACAUCUCGUACAUCUCUUGUAAAAAAUGCCGCCAAACGACGGACUGAGAGUCCCACGAGAGGUCGUACCGAUAGUCCCGUCGGAGAAUCCCGCACUGCGGGACGGGUCGAGAAUACGCCUAGCCCCGUAGUAAGGCGCGAGAAUGCCGCUGCAAAUCGUAAAAAGAACGACUGGAAAAGACGGUCAAAUAUUUUAUUUUAAAUUCGGGAAUUUAUUCGAUAAUUGAAGGCAUAAACCUUCAAUAGCAAAUCAAUAAUUGGAACGCUUUAGUAUGGUAAGAUCAGCGAAGGGGAACUCCUGAACUAAAUCGGGGAAAUCGUACGAUAGCAAUGUCUCCUGGUUUAAACACGUCAAAUGAUUGAAUAUCUGGUGGUGUAUCAGCACCUCUUCGAUGAUCUUAUGAAGGAUCUCCCAGAAGACCCUGUGAAAGCAUCCAAUAAUACGAGAAUGAUCCGAUAGCGUAUCUACCUCACGGUUUGAGCGUCGAUAACUCCUUCACGAGGUCAAAUACGAGAAUAUUCCGAUAGCGUAUCUACCUCACGGUUUGAGCGUCGAUAACUCCUUCACGAGGUCAAACACGAGAAUAAUCCGAUAGCGUAUACAUGUACGUCAAGGUUUGGGGAACGUUGAUGUCUGCUUCACGACAAACAUUGAACAGGAUGAAGGUCAAAUACGUUAAUUUAAUGCAUGGUUUUUUUAUUUGUUUAUGUGGGGAUUUUAAGAUCAUUCUUCAUUUUAAUUGUUUUAUUUUAUUUCUUAGACAGUAAUAGUUAAUUGGGUUCAUAUUUUAUGGCCCAAAGUGUUUUUUAGCACUUAAGGUGUUUUCUACAGAUCCACUUUUUUGGUGUUCGCUGAGGUAAUGAUUUUGAAACGUUUGUUAACAACAACAAUAACCCAAAUAACAAAAAUACUACCAUUAGCAUCAACAACAACCAAAAUAAACGCACUAGCAUCAUCGCCAUCGCCAUCAAUUACGAAGAUAACCACAAUCAAAAUAACAAAAAACAAAGAAAAAUAUAACAUUGCGAACAACAACAACAAAAACAGAAUUAGCACACUACCGUCAUCACAAUCCAUAACAAUAACUACAAUCAAAAUAACAACAACAAUACUACCAUUCCAAUACCACCACCAACAACCACAACGAUGACCAAUACCUCAACAGCAACAAAUGACAUUGAUUAAACGAUAGCAAUAACAAAAAUGAUAACAAUAACGACAACUACAUCAAUAACACUAUAGAAACGAUAAUACGACAAUGUCAGUCACAACAACGACAAAUCUUAGCCAAGAGUUAGAGCAGUUUUCGUAUGACUGUGAAAACCUCACAGCAUAAACACAGUCGUGACACUGCAAGGGAUACGCCAGACCAAUCACACUGCUCGAAAAUUUACUCUCCAUCCAAUCAAAUACCCGGAACACGGCGUUGACACGGUCACACCAAGGUCACGGCACUGUCAGACCAAUCACAAUGCGCGAGAAAAAAAUCAGCCAAUCCAAAUUCUAGAAACCACGGUCACGGCAAGGCACGCAUACGGAACUGAGCUUUUCACAGUCAUACGAAAACUGCACUAACAAGAAUAAUAGCAAUAACAUCAAAAGAUAUAACUUUCAGCUGACACCAAAAAGAGCGAAGGACCUGAACACAAACAUAGAAUAAUAGAAAAAAAAUACAAUAAGAUUUCAAUUGUAAAUAGCUUAUAGAUAAAGGUUAGGAACAAGGCGGGAUUUGCAUUCCAGCUCUUAAACUGUUUACUCUAAGAAAGCCAUAGAAAAUAUGCAGCAGUCGAAAAAGUGGAAAGUUAAAAAUUGGUAGACGACAUCGUUCUGAACAACUCGUUCUUAUGGCUCUUAAUUGGUUAAGAAGAGCAAUAGCGCAUGUUUAGUUAUCUACAACGGGUCGUAUCACGUCGUAUUUACUAUAGGUCACGUGACUAUCCGCGUCUGCCAUUAUGAUAGACAAUACAGUACUAGUAUUGGACGUUUUUUAGAAUUUAUUCUCAUAUCACGAUCAGUUUUUUAUUACAGAAUCAUAUGUUCUCUUAAUAAUUUACAAAUACGAUAAACACUUACGAAGUUAAGGCUGAGUUAAGGGAAUUUAGUAUUAAAAAAACACGCAAAGGUAUGGUCCUGUUGCUGGGUUUCAAUCCGCUUAUAAAAGUCUUUGGAUCUCAUCUGUUCCGAAUGAUGGUCAAACACUGACCAACAUGUGCUUGCUUUCAGCCAGAAAAAAUUCUAUAAAAACAUUGCAAAAGAUAUUUUCCAAGAUGCGUGAGCGUUGUCAAAAGUAUCGCUUGCUCAGAUUCGAAAGCGAGGAGGAUUAAUAUUCUUUCCUUCAAGGGUUUUUUUGAACGUUGUCCAAAAAUUCCUCGUUUUUCAUGUCUGCGCCUACGAUAUUGAUGAAAGCGCCCGCUCAUCUCGGAAACCAUCUAUUCAGCUGAUGAACAUUGAGAAACCCAGCAAUAGAUACUGACCAUGAUAAUGGAGUCUAUAUUUCACGAAUCGGAUAGUUCGAGUGUUUUUCAUGUUUCUGCGGCCCAAAGACAACUCCGUACGGUGUUUCUAAGUUUUUGGUUUCGUUUCAAAUUUACAACGGCCUCGUAAGGCGCGAUUACAUAGAGCAAUUUUCUCUGCAACUUGUUUCGCAACAGCGUUGCGAUGCUCCGUGCAACUUGCCGGUGUCGCAACAUUUUUUCGGGCCAAGUUGCAGAGAAAAUUGUCGCUCCGUGUUACUGAGCUUUUAGUCAGUAAACUUUGUGAGGACUUGCUAGGGAAAAUUGGUUAUCCCUUUUUGUCUAACCAAGGAUCUGCCUUGGUCGCAAAAACUUGAAAACUGCUCCAUAAACGAGAGGAUUUUUCGAAUGAGCGGGAAACGUACAUUUUAAAUCUUUAACCAAUCAAACCAAUCAAAAACCGAGAUAUACCCUCGGCCAAUCACAGUGCCCGGAAGCCAUUUAAGUGCAGCCACUUUGCGUUUCCCUCUCGUACUAAAUUUCCUAAAAGGAAUUUUCUCAACUUCUACAUCCUAUUAUAAAUUUUUUCGGAGCGAUCACGAUAUUAUUUUAAACGCUAAAAAUUUGAAUAUCCAAAGACCAUUGGAUGCAAAAAGAAAAUUAAAUAAAGACCGAGUAGAGGUCUAAUCAGUUUUUUUAAUAUUUAGGAGAAAAGGGGUAGGGAUAUACGAAGAUAUUUUGCUACAUUAUUGCAAUAGAAAUAGAAUAAAUGAAUCGAGUAAUAAACCAAGUCUUUCUUAACGAAGAAUCUUCGAAUGGUUUUCUUGAUAAGACUUCGACAAGUAAAAAUGAAUUAAGUAAAUAAAAUCGUGAAAAACAUCAAA
rnacentral:misc_RNA from 1 species